UCGGUGCCGCAGCUAACGCAUUAAGUACUCCGCCUGGGAAGUACGCUCGCAAGAGUGAAACUCAAAGGAAUUGACGGGGACCCGAACAAGUAGCGGAGCAUGUGGUUUAAUUCGAAGCAACGCGAAGAACCUUACCUAAGCUUGACAUCCCAAUGACAUCUCCUUAAUCGGAGAGUUCCCUUCGGGGACAUUGGUGACAGGUGGUGCAUGGUUGUCGUCAGCUCGUGUCGUGAGAUGUUGGGUUAAGUCCCGCAACGAGCGCAACCCUUGUCUUUAGUUGCCAUCAUUAAGUUGGGCACUCUAGAGAGACUGCCAGGGAUAACCUGGAGGAAGGUGGGGAUGACGUCAAAUCAUCAUGCCCCUUAUGCUUAGGGCUACACACGUGCUACAAUGGGUAGUACAGAGGGUUGCCAAGCCGUAAGGUGGAGCUAAUCCCUUAAAGCUACUCUCAGUUCGGAUUGUAGGCUGAAACUCGCCUACAUGAAGCUGGAGUUACUAGUAAUCGCAGAUCAGAAUGCUGCGGUGAAUGCGUUCCCGGGUCUUGUACACACCGCCCGUCACACCACGGGAGUUGGAGACGCCCGAAGCCGAUUAUCUAACCU
rnacentral:rRNA from 1 species